rnacentral:rRNA from 1 species
CGGGACACGUGGUAUCCUGUCUGAAUAUGGGGGGACCAUCCUCCAAGGCUAAAUACUCCUGACUGACCGAUAGUGAACCAGUACCGUGAGGGAAAGGCGAAAAGAACCCCGGCGAGGGGAGUGAAAAAGAACCUGAAACCGUGUACGUACAAGCAGUGGGAGCACGCUUAGGCGUGUGACUGCGUACCUUUUGUAUAAUGGGUCAGCGACUUAUAUUCUGUAGCAAGGUUAACCGAAUAGGGGAGCCGAAGGGAAACCGAGUCUUAACUGGGCGUUAAGUUGCAGGGUAUAGACCCGAAACCCGGUGAUCUAGCCAUGGGCAGGUUGAAGGUUGGGUAACACUAACUGGAGGACCGAACCGACUAAUGUUGAAAAAUUAGCGGAUGACUUGUGGCUGGGGGUGAAAGGCCAAUCAAACCGGGAGAUAGCUGGUUCUCCCCGAAAGCUAUUUAGGUAGCGCCUCGUGAAUUCAUCUCCGGGGGUAGAGCACUGUUUCGGCAAGGGGGUCAUCCCGACUUACCAACCCGAUGCAAACUGCGAAUACCGGAGAAUGUUAUCACGGGAGACACACGGCGGGUGCUAACGUCCGUCGUGAAGAGGGAAACAACCCAGACCGCCAGCUAAGGUCCCA